UGUAACGGGGCUAAACCAUGCACCGAAGCUGCGGCAGCGACACUGUGUGUUGUUGGGUAGGGGAGCGUUCUGUAAGCCUGCGAAGGUGGCCUGUGAGGGUUGCUGGAGGUAUCAGAAGUGCGAAUGCUGACAUAAGUAACGAUAAAGCGGGUGAAAAGCCCGCUCGCCGGAAGACCAAGGGUUCCUGUCCAACGUUAAUCGGGGCAGGGUGAGUCGACCCCUAAGGCGAGGCCGAAAGGCGUAGUCGAUGGGAAACGGGUUAAUAUUCCCGUACUUGGUGUUACUGCGAAGGGGGGACGGAGAAGGCUAUGUUGGCCGGGCGACGGUUGUCCCGGUUUAAGCGUGUAGGUGUGUGUUCCAGGUAAAUCCGGUUCACUUUAACACUGAGGCGUGACGACGAGGCACUACGGUGCUGAAGCAACAAAUGCCCUGCUUCCAGGAAAAGCCUCUAAGCAUCAGGUAACAUCAAAUCGUACCCCAAACCGACACAGGUGGUCAGGUAGAGAAUACCAAGGCGCUUGAGAGAACUCGGGUGAAGGAACUAGGCAAAAUGGUGCCGUAACUUCGGGAGAAGGCACGCUGACACGUAGGUGAAGUGAUUUACUCAUGGAGCUGAAGUCAGUCGAAGAUACCAGCUGGCUGCAACUGUUUAUUAAAAACACAGCACUGUGCAAACACGAAAGUGGACGUAUACGGUGUGACGCCUGCCCGGUGCCGGAAGGUUAAUUGAUGGGGUCAGCGCAAGCGAAGCUCCUGAUCGAAGCCCCGGUAAACGGCGGCCGUAACUAUAACGGUCCUAAGGUAGCGAAAUUCCUUGUCGGGUAAGUUCCGACCUGCACGAAUGGCGUAAUGAUGGCCAGGCUGUCUCCACCCGAGACUCAGUGAAAUUGAACUCGCUGUGAAGAUGCAGUGUACCCGCGGCAAGACGGAAAGACCCCGUGAACCUUUACUAUAGCUUGACACUGAACAUUGAGCCUUGAUGUGUAGGAUAGGUGGGAGGCUUUGAAGUGUGGACGCCAGUCUGCAUGGAGCCGACCUUGAAAUACCACCCUUUAAUGUUUGAUGUUCUAACGUGGACCCGUUACCCGGGUUGCGGACAGUGUCUGGUGGGUAGUUUGACUGGGGCGGUCUCCUCCUAAAGAGUAACGGAGGAGCACGAAGGUUGGCUAAUCCUGGUCGGACAUCAGGAGGUUAGUGCAAUGGCAUAAGCCAGCUUGACUGCGAGCGUGACGGCGCGAGCAGGUGCGAAAGCAGGUCAUAGUGAUCCGGUGGUUCUGAAUGGAAGGGCCAUCGCUCAACGGAUAAAAGGUACUCCGGGGAUAACAGGCUGAUACCGCCCAAGAGUUCAUAUCGACGGCGGUGUUUGGCACCUCGAUGUCGGCUCAUCACAUCCUGGGGCUGAAGUAGGUCCCAAGGGUAUGGCUGUUCGCCAUUUAAAGUGGUACGCGAGCUGGGUUUAGAACGUCGUGAGACAGUUCGGUCCCUAUCUGCCGUGGGCGCUGGAGAACUGAGGGGGGCUGCUCCUAGUACGAGAGGACCGGAGUGGACGCAUCACUGGUGUUCGGGUUGUCAUGCCAAUGGCACUGCCCGGUAGCUAAAUGCGGAAGAGAUAAGUGCUGAAAGCAUCUAAGCACGAAACUUGCCCCGAG
rnacentral:rRNA from 3 species